rnacentral:lncRNA from 12 species
AGAAGAUUGACAUGGUACAUGGUACACGCGCACGGUCCAAAAAGAGUGCGCGUCGUAUCCAUAACAACGGAGUUGUUGCCUACUAUUCUUCUACACACUCAAAAGUAUGUAUAAGUAGGCGAAUUGGGACGCAGCAAAACACAAAGUGUCUCUCGUGCGCUGCUUCAAACAUGGAGCUUGCACCAGCAUCCUACUACGGACCCCUGGAUAAAAACAACCUCGUCCUGUCAGCUUUUCAAAGUCCAUUAAACUGUUUGAGACAUGGAACAAGUAUAAAUCUCGCCUUCCUCCCUCUUAUUUCGAAAAGCACCUGUUGCAAACAGCAGAUUUCCUCCUUGACUCAAAGGUUUUGGUGA